rnacentral:tRNA from 1 species
GGAGUUAGCUGAGUGGUUUAGCAGUAAAUUUACACUUUACAGACUUAUCCAAGUUAGUUAACAUCU